AUACUGCACCAGGUGAAGGAGCAAAAUGUUGGAUAUUUGGAGCACCCACUACCACGGGAAUAGUUCCUACAAAAAUUGUAAUGAGUAUGUAAACCGCUUCCAUAGUAGCAAAUUGCAGGAUCGUUUUUGGCUUUUUGCUAAAUCCUCAAAUAGUACUAAAUAGUUAAAAUAUAAUAGCUGUCCUUGUGCUUUUAGCAUUCACCAAUAUGAAGAAAAUGAGCUAAUUAGAUUGUCAAUUAUUUGAAUAUACAUAUAUUUGACUGUGAAACAAACUACUAUGGAUUGGAAUAGAACAGAGGAGAUUAGGCUUGGUUGUGUGGAGUAAUAAAGGAGCUAAACUGUUAUUUUAGAGCAAAUCAAUAGUUAUGAAAAGGGUGUUUUAAAAUUGUGCACAUAAGGUGCUUGUUAAAAUGCUCCAAUUAACUGUUUUGACUAAAAACCAAAAAUUUGAUGGAACUAAAACUUGGGUUAUGUAUAUACACCAUGUAUGUGGAUAAGUAAAGUGUUGUAACAUAUUAAAUGGAACAAAGGGUAAUUUUAAAGCUAAAACUAAAAAUGGGAUUUUUGGUAUGUUAAGCUAUUUUGGCAAACUGUUUUGGGCAGUUUAAUGAAUUUAAUUGGAGGUCUAAUGUUUUUUUUAGUUGGCUGUUUUGGUAUGUUAAGCUAUUUUUGGUAUGGGUAAUUUUAAAGCUAAAACUAAAUUAUUUGGGUGAGUAUAAUAUGCGAGUAUAUUAACUGCCUUACCAUGUGUGUGUGUAACAAAGAUUUCUGACUAGCUUGCAAUGUAGCCAAAAUGCUGCUUAUAUUUGAUUCUAGUUCUACUCUUUUGCUUUUUGAAAGUAAUUUAUGGAAGCAUGAUAUUCAGUGAACUAAUAAUGGUGAAAAGCCUAUGCUGGAUUCAACCGAGAGGCAAAGAGCAUAUCAGCAAGAUUUAACAAGCCCCACAAUCUGAAUAGGGCCACUGUCACAAUGGAGUUUACAGCAACAUAAUGACAUUAAGAAGAAACUCCAACUCUAGUGCCAAGAAAAG
rnacentral:lncRNA from 1 species